rnacentral:rRNA from 1 species
UCGAGAAUUUUUCACAAUGGGCGCAAGCCUGAUGGAGCGACGCCGCGUGGGGGAUGAAUGGCUUCGGCCCGUAAACCCCUGCCAUUUGCGAUCAAACCUUGCUAUUUAAAAGAUGGCGAGCUGAUAGUAGCGAAAGAGGAAGGGACGGCUAACUCUGUGCCAGCAGCCGCGGUAAUACAGAGGUCCCAAGCGUUGUUCGGAUUCACUGGGCGUAAAGGGUGCGUAGGUGGUGGGGUAAGUCGGAUGUGAAAUCUCGGAGCUCAACUCCGAAAUGGCAUUGGAAACUACCCUGCUAGAGGGUCGGAGGGGGGACUGGAAUUCUCGGUGUAGCAGUGAAAUGCGUAGAUAUCGAGAGGAACACCAGUGGCGAAGGCGAGUCCCUGGACGACUCCUGACACUGAGGCACGAAAGCUAGGGGAGCAAACA